rnacentral:rRNA from 1 species
GUAGGUGGCAAGCGUUGUCCGGAAUUAUUGGGCGUAAAGCGCGCGCAGGCGGUUCUUUAAGUCUGAUGUGAAAGCCCACGGCUCAACCGUGGAGGGUCAUUGGAAACUGGAGAACUUGAGUACAGAAGAGGAAAGCGGAAUUCCACGUGUAGCGGUGAAAUGCGUAGAGAUGUGGAGGAACACCAGUGGCGAAGGCGGCUUUCUGGUCUGUAACUGACGCUGAGGCGCGAAAGCGUGGGGGAGCAAACAGGAUUAGAUACCCUGGUAGUCCACGCCGUAAACGAUGAGUGCUAAGUGUUAGGGGGUCUCCGCCCCCCCCUUAGUGCUGCAGCUAACGCAUUAAGCACUCCGCCUGGGAGUACGGCCGCAAGGCUG